rnacentral:sRNA from 1 species
GCUGGGCAUACUGACACAUGCCUGUAAUCCCAGUGGCUUGGGAGGCUGAGGCAGGAGGAUCUCAAGUUCAACUUGGGCAAGUUCAGCCUGGGCAACUUGGUGAGAUCCUGUCUCU